UGGGAUUUCGUGGGACAUUCUGUG
rnacentral:miRNA from 9 species